GUGCUAACUCUAACAGCACAUAUACUAAAAUUGGGACAAUACAAAGAUUAACAUGGCCCCUGGGCAAAGAGCACAUAUAAAUUUGUGAAGUGCUCCAUGUUUUA
rnacentral:snRNA from 1 species